rnacentral:rRNA from 1 species
UCGAGAAUCUUCGGCAAUGGGCGAAAGCCUGACCGAGCGAUGCCGCGUGCGGGAUGAAGGCCUUCGGGUUGUAAACCGCUGUCGUAGGGGAGAAAGGGUCGUUGAAGAAACGACUUUGAUCUAUCCUAGGAGGAAGUCCGGGCUAAGUUCGUGCCAGCAGCCGCGGUAACACGAACCGGACAAACGUUAUUCGGAAUUACUGGGCUUAAAGGGUGCGUAGGCGGUGCGGUAAGUGCGGUGUGAAAUCCCACGGCUCAACCGUGGAAUUGCGCUGCAUACUGCCGUGCUAGAGGGAGACAGGGGUAAGCGGAACUGAUGGUGGAGCGGUGAAAUGCGUUGAUAUCAUCAGGAACACCGGUGCGAAAGCGGCUUACUGGGU